rnacentral:rRNA from 1 species
GACGAACGCUGGCGGCGUGCCUAAUACAUGCAAGUAGAACGCUGAAGAGAGGAGCUUGCUCUUCUUGGAUGAGUUGCGAACGGGUGAGUAACGCGUAGGUAACCUGCCUGGUAGCGGGGGAUAACUAUUGGAAACGAUAGCUAAUACCGCAUAAAAUUGAUUAUUGCAUGAUAAUUAAUUGAAAGAUGCAAUUGCAUCACUACCAGAUGGACCUGCGUUGUAUUAGCUAGUUGGUGAGGUAACGGCUCACCAAGGCGACGAUACAUAGCCGACCUGAGAGGGUGAUCGGCCACACUGGGACUGAGACACGGCCCAGACUCCUACGGGAGGCAGCAGUAGGGAAUCUUCGGCAAUGGGGGGAACCCUGACCGAGCAACGCCGCGUGAGUGAAGAAGGUUUUCGGAUCGUAAAGCUCUGUUGUAAGAGAAGAACGGGUGUGAGAGUGGAAAGUUCACACUGUGACGGUAUCUACCAGA